GAACGCUGGCGGCAGGCCUAACACAUGCAAGUCGAACGGUAACAGGAAGCAGCUUGCUGCUUGCUGACGAGUGGCGGACGGGUGAGUAAUGUCUGGGAAACUGCCUGAUGAGGGGGGAUAACUACUGGAAACGGUAGCUAAUACCGCAUAACGUCGCAAGACCAAAGAGGGGGACCUUCGGGCCUCUUGCCAUCAGAUGUGCCCAGAUGGGAUUAGCUUGUUGGUGGGGUAACGGCUCACCAAGGCGACGAUCCCUAGCUGGUCUGAGAGGAUGACCAGCCACACUGGAACUGAGACACGGUCCAGACUCCUACGGGAGGCAGCAGUGGGGAAUAUUGCACAAUGGGCGCAAGCCUGAUGCAGCCAUGCCGCCGUGUAUGAAGAAGGCCUUCGGGUUGUAAAGUACUUUCAGCGGGGAGGAAGGUGUUGUGGUUAAUAACCACAGCAAUUGACGUUACCCGCAGAAGAAGCACCGGCUAACUCCGUGCCAGCCGCCGC
rnacentral:rRNA from 1 species